rnacentral:rRNA from 1 species
CCUACGGGGGGCAGCAGUGAGGAAUAUUGGUCAAUGGUCGGGAGACUGAACCAGCCAAGCCGCGUGAGGGAGGAAGGUACAGAGUAUCGUAAACCUCUUUUGUCAGGGAACAAAGGCGGGGACGUGUCCCCGGAUGAGUGUACCUGAAGAAAAAGCAUCGGCUAACUCUGUGCCAGCAGCCGCGGUAAUACGGAGGAUGCGAGCGUUAUCCGGAUUUAUGGGGUUUAAGGGGUGAGCAGGCGGUCUGUUAAGUCAGCGGUCAAAGCCCGGGGCUCAACCCCGGCCCGCCGUUGAAACUGGCAGUCUCGAGUUGGAGAGAAGUAUGCGGAAUGCGCGGUGUAGCGGUGAAAUGCAUAGAUAUCGCGCAGAACUCCGAUUGCGAAGGCAGCAUGCCGGCUCCACACUGACGCUGAGGCACGAAAGCGUGGGUAUCGAACAGGAUUAGAUACCCGAGUAGUC